rnacentral:lncRNA from 1 species
GCUGCCACGGCCCCCCUCCGUCUCCUGUAGCGAGAGGAAGAGGACAAGUGGGGUUGGGCUGGGCCUAUUUUUGCUAAAUGGGCCAGGGGUCCAGUAGUUUAGGUCCCCUUUUCUUUUUACUACUAUUUUCCAUUUUCUUUUCUUUUUAAUUAUUUCGCUACUGUUUUGUACUAAUCCUAGAACCAAAUGGCUUUUGUAAAAUGUGGAGCUUUGACAUAUAGAUACGCACUAUACAUUAUUUAGCACCGCCACAAUAAGUUUGAGGAUUAAAUGAAUCCAUUUUAAUUUUGUUUAAAUAGAAAGAUUUAUUUUGGGGCUGUUUCGUCCAGUUUAAAAUAGUUUAAAGACAUUUUAAUAAUUCCAAUAAUGUUGGAUUAUUCAUGAUAAUUAGUUAGUAAUUUUUGGAACCCAACGAACAUUUUUGUUUUACCGCUAGAAAAAUAAUAAUUUUGACUCUAUCAUAAUUCGAAUUUGAAUUCAGUUUGAAACAAGUGAGGUUAGCAAAAUUUUAAUUAUGAUGACUUGACAUCAUUAGCAGGGUUUACUGUAGCUUAACUAUUGGGGUGUCACAAAUCUCCUCCACUACAAGAAAUCUCGUCCCGAGAUUUUAAGAGGUGGAGUAAGGGAGAAAGUUCUGGUCACGAAAUUCUAACGAAUCUUCUCGGUCUUGGUUGCUCUUCUCGAAGAGGUCGAUCCAUUACAUUGAUAUCUUCAUACCUAUGCAUCAAUGCAUCAUGAUGAAGUUGUCGUCCUUUUAUCGGGAACUCCAUCGUACUUAUGAAAGAAUAAGGGGGUAUUCCGGGAGAAUGGACCUCUUCAAGGUUGACUAUCUGGUAGAUAACAACGGGGAAGGUGGCGGAAAGUAACUCUCGAAUUGAAACUUAAGGAGAUAUCGAGAGUAAGGUAAGAAGGUGCAAUAAGAAGUUUCAAGCGAAUACGCAAUCAUUUGUUUCCUGUAACAGAGUGUGGAAGGGAUUCAGAGCAAUGGGCAUAAGUAUUGUUUCGGAUACCAGAAUUGGUGAUCUCUCGAAAGGUGGCUCGUCAAUUACAUACAAAGCCAUGCGUGAGAAAUAACUUUGGAAACAGGGGGUACAGGAGAUUCAGGUUUCGAUCCUGUGGAACUGUGGGUUAUGGGCCCACCAUGUGGGUUAAAAGUAGAAAGGGCGGUAAUGUCUUGCACGAGCAUGUAAGCAAGGCAUGUCAGAGGAUAGCCUAUCAGAAUUGUCGGCAACAACAUCGGUACCAAUGUCGAGGGACGAAGAGAACCGUUUUCCUGCUCGUUGAACGAGGCGGACCAAUAGGCAAAGUUCUCGUCCAUCGGUGGUUACCGGAAUGUCAUCAACAAUAGUAACAUGUUCUUACUGACAGAGUUGUACACCGAGGUGCUUAUAAAGGCAGUGACUUAUUACUGCUUAGAUCAUAUCAACCUCAAGAAGUUUAAACAGAACAAUGGAAAGGAAAAUGUACUUAUCAGAUUAAACAGAACAAUGAAAAGGAAAAAUGUGUUUAAACACAUAAUUCAGGGGUAUAUCCUACCCAAGGAAAAGCAGAGCAUGAUAUCCAUGAUAGGAUAUAAUUGUAGAAAACCAUUUUGGUAAUGGGAGAGAAAUUUCAUGACAUUACCCAAACAACGAUGUUUGGAUAAUUGAUAAGGAAAUUUUUGCAUUGUGCUUCAAAUGCUCUUAUUGAAAAUCAGAGUACCACAAACAUGCUUCGAGAUAGCAUCGACAUGGUCUUCAAGCAAGGUCGGACUUGGAUACCCAAAGGAUUCAUCAGGAACAACUUAUAGAAUAAGUCUUACAAUUUCCUCGUGGAAGAAUGGUUAUCCUUGCUAAAACGGAAGACUUUUAAUAAUAGGUCCUCCGGCCAGGUGUGCUAGGCAUGACGUCACCUUAGAGAUCAAUGUUAUAACUCUUGGAGAUAUGUUCCAACCAUCAUAUCUGACCGAGAUCCAGUUCUGAUUGGCGUCAGGAUAUCACAGACACGGGAUGCCUGAGAAGAGAGGUGCAACACAAAUUGUCGAGAUGACAUUUGUCAGAUCAAAUGGUAUAAUGAUGUAUGCUCAAGGAAAACAUACACAAUUUAACAAUGAUAGAAGGGUGCACCCUGAAAUCUGGAUUGGGUAGCAUGAUCAAUGUUUGAAUGAUGAUUCAAUAAGCAAUAAACUUAGAAUGAAAAUAUCGACCGUUAACUUCAAAUCAAUAGGGUUGCUAGAAGGGCAGAAUCCAAACAGUGCCGUUCACCUGUUGGUGUCCCGCUUAGAAUCGACACGGGGCCAAGAAUUAAUGGUGAUGAUGAGAAGUAUCACUAUACCAGGAACUCUUAAGAGGUGGAGCAAUUCUCAGAACAUUCUUGACAUAAUAGAUGGUAAUACUCCAAGGUAGAUCAUAACACCAGUUGGAUAGAAGGGAACUCAAGGUACUACACGAGACAUGAACAAGUUUGUGUUGGUGGGAAGGCAAUAAAGUUGCCGAUGAUAACACAAAUCAUCAUGGGGCAAGAAGGGUAUUUAUGAUCAAGAAUUUGAUAGAGAUCUCGGAAGAACCCAGAAUGUUGACGAUGAUCAUGACACCUUUGUUGAGAGAUUUCAUGAAGAUGUAAUCGAUCGGCGACGACAUCAAGUCAAAGGAAUGAUGAAGCGAAAGGUUUUUGAAACCAUGGGUACGACAUCAACUCGGAACCAAGCUUGUUGUUCGAGGUGAAUGAUAAGACGAGGAAGAUCGACGUAAGCUUAGCUCAUCAUCGAAAGUUGUGCUUUGAGAAUAAGGACCAGGUGGCAUAGCCUAAAUUUUAGCACAAGAUGAUAGCUGAUCAGGGUAGGAUUGACAUGCUCGAGGACAAACUCAUGAGUAAAGGAGAUUACUAAGAGUUGUUUAAUCAUGGUGCGGACCCGAUUUAGUUAUCGGUGUCCUCGAGUGACUAACAACUCGGAACCAGGAAACAUUGGAAUCGGUGAGGGAUAAUACUCGAUGAAGGCUCAUAAUAAGCAAUAUGGUUCAGUGAUAUUAUCAAGAUACCAGAGGGUAAUACUCCUAGGUAGAGCAAAAUAGAGGGUUGACAAGUGUAUUGAUCUACAGAAGACAAGUGCUUAAACUUGCACGAGAAAUGGUAUUUAAAGGAGAACAUGGUCGGAACCAUGAUUGCAAAGGCCAGAUCCCAGAUAUAAGAUGAACUUAUACCAAAGGAAUAAUUAAUUUAAGAGAAGCUUUAAUGAUAAGAUCUACAUCGUGUCCAUGGGCAUGAUCACAAAGUUCAAGGUUGACUACCACUUCUCCAAUGCAUAACCUUUCAUUCACUUCUCACUUUCAAGGAAGUUGUAGUGUUGAAAUUUUAUCUAGCAAAAUAACAGAAGAGUAUGACUCGUGAAAACUUUCGGGUUCACACGAUUUUAGAGAAGGUAUAGGUUCAACCCAUUGGGGCAUCUUAGAAACAUAUACCACAAGCUUCAAGAGUAAAUAUCACCAGCUCGAAAGCAGAGCAAGGUUGAGCAAGUAGAGGAUACAAUUUACCAAAGGCAUUAUGUACCGAGGGGAGGCUCACAAGGUUAUUGAAUAUGAAGGACGCUGUCGGAUAAAAUCCAUUAAAGGAUCUGCCGGUCCAUAACAGAGCUGAUGUGAGCAUCAGCACACAACCAGAGGAAGUAACAAUGCAAAGGCAUUGGAUUAUAGAAACAACUGACUAAUCCAGAGCUCAAAUGCAAAAGGAAUUAUGAUUUUCAAAUCAAGGGAUCAGAAGCAAUGUUCUGAUUAGAGAUGGAUAAGUUGAAUAGCCUUAGGGGUACAAUCGACGGCAAUUGGAUUGGUUGAGAACCAGCUCAUGUUUAAAAGGACGUCUCAGCCGGAAAGAUAAUUUAAAAGGAUCAACUGAUGAUUGCGUGCAUUCGCACUCAUGUUGAAUCAAUAGGAUCAAAAUGAUGGUGCCUAAGGAUACUAACGAAUAUUGCCCGACAUAUGGAAAGCAUCCAUAAUGCAAGUAGACAAGUAUUGCAGAGCAAUAAGCUACUAAGGAUUUCUGGAGGAUCGAACAGUAUUUCGUAGACCAUUGUGAAACACAUGAACAACUGGGGGAUGAGCGGAUACUCGAUAAGGGCGAAAAAUUAUCCGUAGGGGUAUUCAUGUGGCAAAGAAUUGCAAGGCAGUAGGCACAUAACAUUCUCGGAACAAUAGAGAGGAUUUCAGGGUAUAUAUAAUAACAAGAUCAACUGGGAAUAAAAGUAAGAACGGCAAGUGUAUGUAUUUAUCCAUAGGGAUAUUUCGGUGGUAGAGAAUUGCAAAAGCAACGGGCACAAAGUCUCAAAAGAGUAUCGGAGAGUAACUUCAAAAUCUCCUGGUGCAGCAGGCGAUCAUCUGGACUGAAGGGGCUCUCCGGGAGAAAUUGUUUUCGAGAACCUAAAGUUAGAUUUUUAGAAAAUCAUUUAACCCGAAUAGGGGAGAGAUUAGAGUCCCAGAGUAAAGAUCGAGGAGUAAAAGAUUCUAAUACCACCCAAUGGCGGCGUGGGCCCGUAAGCCACACAACCAUGUUAGUAAAAGUUUUUCAAUGACUAGACUCGACUUUGGCCAAGGAGUUGGAAAGGGGGCUAUCUACAGGCAGUCGGCUCUGAUACCAACUUGUGACGCCCCCGAUUCAACCGUACACUAAUCAUACACGCAAACGUGUACGAUCAAGAUCAGGAACUCACGGGAAGAUAUCACAACACAACUCUACAAAUAAAAUAAGUCAUACAAGCAUCAUAUUACAAGCCAGGGGCCUCGAAGGCUCGAAUACAAGAGCUCGAUCAUAGACGAGUCAGCGGAAGCAACAAUAUCUGAGUACAGACAUAAGUUAAACAAGUUUGCCUUAAGAAGGCUAGCACAAACUGGGAUACCGAUCGAAAGAGGCACAGGCCUCCUGCCUGGGAUCCUCCUAACUACUCCUGGUCAUCGUCAGCGGGCUGCACGUAAUAGUAGGCACCUCCUGAGUAGUAGUAGUCGUCAUCAAUGGUGGCGUCUGGCUCCUGGACUCCAACGUCUGGUCGCAGCAAUCGGAUAUAGGAAAUGGGAAAAAAAGAGGAGAAAAACAACCGUGAGUACUCAUCCAAAGUACUCGCAAGCAAGGAGCUAUACUACAUAUGUAUGCAUUGGUAUCAAAUGGAUUAAGGGUAUCAUAUUUGGACUGAACUGCAGAAUGCCGGAAUAAGAGGGGGAUAGCUAGUCCUUUCGAAGACUACGCUUCUGUAACCUCCAUCUUGCAGCAGGAGAAGAGGGUAGCUGGUAAGUUCACCAAGUAGCAUCGCAUAGCAUAAUCCUAACCGAUAAUCCUCCCCUCGUCGCCCUGUGAGGGAGCGAUCACCGGUUGUAUCUGGCACUUGGAAGGGUGUGUUUUAUUAAGUAUCCGGUUCUAGUUGUCAUAAGGUCAAGGUACAACUCCAAGUCGUCCUGUUACCGAAGAUCACGGCUAUUCGAAUAGAUUAACUUCCCUGCAGGGGUGCACCACAUAUCCCAACACACUCGAUCCCAUUUGGCCGGACACACUUUCCUGGGUCAUGCCCGGCCUCAGAAGAUCAACACGUCGCAGCCCUACCUAGGCACAACAGAGAGGUCAGCACGCCGGUCUAAAUCCUAUGGCGCAGCGGUCUGGGCCCAUCGCCCAUUGCACACCUGCACGUUGCGUACGCGGCCGGAAGCAGAACUAGCCCCCUUAAUACAAGAGCAGGCUUACGGUCCAAUCCGGCGCGCGCCACUCAGUCGCUGACGUCAUGAAGGCUUUGGCUGAUACCACGACGUCGAGUGCCCAUAACUGUCCCCGCGUAGAUGGUUAGUGCGUAUAGGCCAGUAGCCAGACUCAGAUCAAAUACCAAGAUCUCGUUAAACGUGUUAAGUAUCCGCGAACACCGCCUAGGGCCGGGCCCACCUCUCUCCUAGGUGGUCUCAACCUGCCCUGUCGCUCCGCCACAAAGUAACAGUCGGGGGCCGUCGGGAACCCAGGCCACCUCUACCGGGAUGGAGCCACCUGCCCCUUCAGCCCUCAACUCCGAACAGUACCACAUGUAAUGUAACUGUGUAAAGUAUAUAGUAUAUGCCCGUGAUCACCUCCCGAAAUGAUCACGGCCCAGUAGUAUAGCAUGGCAGACGGACAAGAGUGUAGGGCCACUGAUGGAACACUAGCAUCCUAUACUAAGUAGUAGGAUAGCAGGUAAUGGUAACAACAGUAGUAGCAAGGACAGGCUAUGCAUCAGGAUAGGAAUAAUGGAAAGCAGUAACAUGCUACACUACUCUAAUGCAAGCAGUAUAGAGAAGAGUAGGCGAUAUCUGGUGAUCAAAGGGGGGGGCUUGCCUGGUUGCUCUGGCAAGAGAGAGUGGUCGUCAACAGCGUAGUCGAUCGGGGCACCAGCAGCUACGUCAGUCUCGUAGUCUAUCGGAGAGAAGAGGGGGAAGAAACAAUGAAUAUAAUGCAAACAGAUGCAUGUCGAUGCAUGACAUGACAAGUAGCGGUGCUAGGGGUGCCCUAACACGGUAUGAGGUGGUACUGGUGAAGGGGGGAAACAUCCGGGAAAAUAUCUCCAGUGUUUUGCGUUUCCGGAUAGAUGAACCAGAGGGGGAAAGUUGCGUGUUCGCUAUGCUAGGGAUGUGUGGUGGACGAACGGGCUGCGUAUCCAGAUUUGUCUCGUCGUUCUGAGCAAUUUUCAUAUAUAAAACUUUUUCAUCAGAAAAUUACGGUUUAUUUUAUUUGAUUUAUUAAAGUUUUAAUUGAUUUUCUAAGACUAUUAUUAUUUCAAAAAAAUAGUAAAUCCUACGGGUACACCAAAGUGUACCCCACAUUAUGCACAUGUGGCUGAUAAAUGGGGCUAGAGGGCCCAGUUGACCAAGUCAACAGGGACUAGUCAACCAAUGAAUAGUAGAAGAGGGUCCGCAUGUCAUUGACUCUAACCUUAGUAGUUUAGGUAAUUUUGCUUAAUUAAUCGCGGGGCCCAUUUGCCAUAGACUCGGUCUUUUUAGACCAACUAAUUAAAGCUAAUCAAUAGAGGGGACCACUUGCCAUUUCUUAUUAUUCUAAUUGAGCACUAAAGUGUUAGUAACUAAGUCUAGACAUACUAAACAAGGGCCGGCCUGGUGGCACAACGUGAGGCUGGUUGUGCACACACGCACACAGCUACACACCACACACGGCCUUGGCCAUGGCCGUGGCCGUGGCCACCAGCAGCAGCAGCAGCCGGCGAUUGCAGGCGGUAGUAGUAGCAGCAAAGCAAUGCUAGCAGCAGCAGCACGCAGCAGAGCAAAGAAGCAACGACGGCAGCGCAAGAGCGGCGGCAGCGGCAAGCAGCGCAGCCGCGGCAUGGGGCAGAGCAGCGAAGCAGCGAGCAGCCACAGCGGUUGGUGAGCAAUAGAAGCCGCGGCGAGGCCGCGCGCGUGCACAGCAGCGGCAGCAACAGCGCAAGAGCAGCAGCAAUACACACGUACGUACAUACGCGUACGCGUGAGCUCCGACGAGCUCGGGGACGGAGGCUACCGCAACGAAUCGAGGGGACAAGCAAGGGGGAAUGGAGGAGGAGCUCACAGAGAGUUCGUGGGCGCGGUCGAGGAAGCCCGGGGUGGACUGGAGCCGUGGGAAUCGUCGAUGGCGGUCGGCGAUGUAUGCGACGGACAACGGCGAUGGCGAGCGUAUGGGGCCUCCCCGGUCAAACCCAACGGCAUAGACGAAGGGGCCGACAGUAGUGAAGCUCCUGGAUGCGUCAGCUUGGCGGGGGAAGACCGGUCGCCGCGAGGACGAGGCGGCGCGGUGGCGAGGCUUCGGGCGAGAGGGCGCGGCGCGAGGAGGAAUGGGGGAGAGGCAGGGGUGUCCUAGGGUUCCUGGGGGAGGGGUGUCGUGGUCUUGUAUGUGAGGGGGAGCCGGCCGAUGGCUGCCACCGCGGCCAUGGUGCCGUGGAUGGCUGCCACGGCCCCCCUCCGUCUCCUGUAGCGAGAGGAAGAGGACAAGUGGGGUUGGGCGGGGCCUAUUUUUGCUAAAUGGGCCAGGGGUCCAGUAGUUUAGGUCCCCUUUUCUUUUUACUACUAUUUUCCAUUUUCUUUUCUUUUUAAUUAUUUCGCUACUGUUUUGUACUAAUUCUAGAACCAAAUGGCUUUUGUAAAAUGUGGAGCUUUGACAUAUAGAUACGUACUAUACAUUAUUUAGCACCGCCACAAUAAGUUUGAGGAUUAAAUGAAUCCAUUUG